GCCUGGCUGGCUCAGUCGGUGGAGCGCGUGACUCUUGAUCUCGGGGUCGUGAGUUCGAGCCCCAUGUUGGGCA
rnacentral:tRNA from 1 species